ACAAUGAUAAAAGAGGUCAUUUUAAAGUGCCUUAUUAUAAUUCAGGUACCACAAAUGUUCUUAUGAUAAUUAAGGUCACAUUUUAACAACCUGCCAUUAAAAUUAAGCGUAAUUACCAAAGAUGCCACUGGCAGCUCUCUCUCUCUCACGUUAUCCAAUCCCGUCUCAACCAGUCUCAACCCUUACCAAUCUCGAUCUCUCUCUCUCUGCCCCGCCUCCGUCCGCAGGAGCACACCUACUGCGACUACUCCGCCGUCUUCGCCUCCGCCUCCGGCAACUGCACCGCACUCGUCUGGGACGUGCGUGAGCCUAGAUCCACGAUGAUCAUCCCGGCGCAUGAGUUUGAGAUCCUGAACACGACGACUGCGUCAUCGCCACCACCUCCGUCAACAAAUCGAUGAAGGUUUGGGACGCCAGGUCCAUCGGAGCUCCGAUCUGGUGCUGAACGGCCACAGCUACGCUGUCAGAAAAGCCAAAUUCUCGCCGCACCUGCAACGCUUAAUGAUGUCGUGCUCGUACUACUUGUUGGCGUAGUUGUCGUUGCUUCAAUACUAGUUAGGACUAGGCAUCGGCGACGGUUCCGAUAGCUACAGCUCCGGCCUUGGAUCAAUGACUCUAAAAAACUACAUUGCCGUCGCUGUCGAUUACCGCUUAGUGAUUCGCGACACUCUCUCCUUCAAGGUACUUCCCUUCCUCCCUAAUUCCCUCUUUACCUAAAGGCUGCAUUUGGUUGACGAGAACUGCAAAGAAAUGAAGCUUGAAAUGUUCUAACUAGUGAAAUUUUCAUUCUAUUUUAACUACUUUUCAUGGCAACCAAAUGAUGGUGUACAUUGAGCUAAAUUUUUGUAGAUCUUAGCGUCUCUAUUUAGAUUUGUGUAAAGAAAAUUGUAGUUUCGUAGCUUGUAUUUGCUGGUUUGCUGAAGAAUUAGAAUACGUGUGUAAGCUUGGAUGUUUCCAUGGGGAUUGAGAAUCGAAGCUUAUUUCAUGUUAAUUAGCUAUCAAGUUAGUUAGGUAAGAGUUUAAAUCGGAUUAGGUGGUAUUUGAUUUAAGGUUGGUUUUGUUUAUCUGAAUGAAAAGCCCAGAAGAUGUUUGAGUGAUAUGAAGAAAAAGAAACCAACUCCUCUCUCACAAAAAAUGCCUCAUGCAGAUGAUGUUUGUUGGCGCACAGAUGGAUUCUUACAGUGGUGCUUUCAAAGCCUGCAUCAACUUGCUUAACUUGAGACUUGGGCGUCAAGUGUAUGGUUUGGUUGUCACCACAGGAUGUGUUAGAUUAUGUUGUUGGAAGCAUUCUUACAGACCUGUAUGCAAGAGUGGGAAACAUUAAGGACGAGUUGGGGAUGUUUUACAGUUUCCAAUGAAAGACACUGUAGCCUGGUCUGGUUUGAUCAUAGGGUGUGCUAAAAUGGGACUAAGCUGGUUAGCUUUUUCAAUGUUUAGAGAUAUGGUGUAUUUGGAUACAAGGGAAGAGGAUUCAAGCUAUUUAAUGAUGAUGGAUCCAGGUCAGGUCUUGGUCCUUACCAAAUAACGUGUUAGUUUUUACUCGGGUCCGAGUUCGACCUCCUGUUGGGUCGGCUUUUGCAGAUCAAUUUGAACGGAAUCAGACGGUACGAUCAGAGACCAUUCAAAAGCUUAAGGCUGGUCUUGCUCCCAAGCAUGAGGAGAAGAUUGAUAUAAUUAGUUAAGAUGGCUUGGUGGUUCUGAUAUAACUUGUAAUGUUUUUUUUCAUUUGGAUAAUUACCCCAAUAAGUUGGAAGGGUAUGUCAUCAACAUGUGCUACUGUUACAAAGUAUUUAUCACAAUUUAUUUAUUAUCAACUAUGUUACUGACUAGGUCACAUUGCAUGUCACUGUUAUAGACAUGUCACUGAGUCAGUCUUAUCAAGUCACUGUCAAUCCCUGGACAAGUGACAUGGUCAAUGACAUGGUUAGUGACAUGUGAUUAACAGUGACUUGGCUAUUAACUUGUGACUUGGCUGCUGACAGUUA